UGUCACAUGAUGAUGCCAAGUUCUGCUC
rnacentral:piRNA from 1 species